rnacentral:rRNA from 1 species
UUGAUGGACGUUUUAUAACGAAAUAUUGCAAGGAAUAGUGAUUACAUGUUGAGAUCUGCAAUUAUCCAUAAAUUUAGAAAACUAAUCUUUGUUUAUAUAAGAAUUGUUUAAAAAAUUAAACAAAUAACUUGGUGAACUGAAUCAUCUAAGUAACCAAGAAUCUAAAUCAACCGAGACACUGUAAUUAGUGGCGAGCGAACGCAGUGAUAGACUUUGAAGAUCCAAAACUAUUAUUUAACACAUAAGUGGCCAAAGAAGGUAACCUAAAUUAAAAGGAGAGCCCUGUAAAAUAAAAUUUAGAUUUUCAUUUUAGUAGGAUGGAACAAGUCAUGUUUUGUCUGAAUAUUGGGGGCCCACCCUCAAAGUCUGUAAGUUUUAAUGACUGAUAGUGAAAAGUACCGUGAGGGAAAAGUGAAAAAGACUUUGCGAAAGUGAAAAGACUUUGAAAUUUAAUGCUGACAAUCUGUCAUAGUUUUUUAAAAUGAUGACGUACCUUUUGUAUAAUGGACCAACAAGUUUAUUUUAGUGGCGAGCUUAAAUAAUUUAUAUGUAGGCGUAAAGAAAUUAAGUUUUAAAAUGCUUUUUAGUCUCUGAAAUAAGACCCGAAACUAAGUGAUCUAACCGUGGGCAGGUUGAAGUUUAGGCGGAAACGCCUUUCGGAGGACCGAACCCGUGUAUGUGGAAAAAUACUGGGAUGACCUGCGGUUAGGGGUGAAAGGCCAAUCAAACUUAGAGAUAGCUGGUUUUCUGCGAAAUCUAUUUAAGUAGAGCGUUUAAAGAACUUUUUUAGGGGUAGAGCUCUCGAUAAGCAAUGGGGGUUUAACGCUUUACUGAGUUUAUUGAAACUUCGAAUACUAAAUUAAAAGACUUUAAGCAGACAGACUAUGAGUGCUAAGAUUCAUAGUCAAGAGGGAAACAGCCCAGACUAUUAACUAAGGCUCCUAAAAAUAAUUAAGUGAUAAAAUUGUUAAAAAAUGUUGACAACCGAAAGGUAGGCUUAGAAGCAGCCAUCCUUUAAAGAAAGCGUAACAGCUCAUUGGUUUAGUUUUUUUGCAUUGAAAAUGUAUGGAACUAAAAUUAUUUGCCGAAGUUAUAGAUUUAUAAAAGAUAAAUGGUAGCAGAACGUUCUGUAAGCUUAAGAAGUUUUAUAGUAAUAUAAAGUGGAGGCAUCAGAAAUGAAAAUGUUGGUAUGAGUAACGAUAAACAAUGUGUAAAACAUUGUCGCCUUAAGUCCCAGGUUUCCAAAACAAGGCUAAUCCGUUUUGGUGUUAAUCGGCCUCUAAGAACGAAAACGAAAGUUUUGAUUUGAUGAGAAAUAUAUAAAUUCUUAAAAAGUGACAAAGUACAAAUAUUAUUUUUAUUUUAUGGUUUGAAUAAAAGUUUUAUAGUGUUUUCUGGAAAUAGCUUUUAAGAUUUAAAACCGUACCUUAAACCGACACAGGUGGACAAGUUUAGUAAACUAAGGCGCUUGAGAGAAUUACGUUGAAGGAACUCGGCAAAAUGACUCCGUAACUUCGGGAUAAGGAGUGACUUUAUUAGGGCAACCUUCUAAAGUUGUCACAAAAUCGGGGACAGCGACUAGUUAAUAAAACUACAGGUUUCUGCUAAUUUGUAAAAAGAUGUAUUGAAACUGACGCCUGCCCAGUGCUGCAAGAUUAAAGGAAGAGGUCUUUUGGCUUUGACCCUAACUCCCAGUAAACGGCGGCUGUAACUCUGACGGUCCUAAGGUAGCGAAAUUCCUUGGCAUUUAAUUGGUGUCCUGCAUGAAUGGCGUAACGACUGUCCCACUGUCUCCAACGUAAACUCAGUGAAAUUGAAUUUUCCGUGAAGAUGCGGAAUUCCUGCGGCUAGACGGAAAGACCCCGUGCACCUUUACUGCAGUUAUAUAUUGUAAUGAAAUUUUUUUUGUGUAGAAUAAGUGGGAAAUUGUUAAUAUCUGUUUACACAAGUAAAUAAGUUAAAUGUCGUUGAAAUACCACUCUGAAAAUUUUUCAUUACUUAUUUUAUUUAAAAAACAGUGUAUAAUGGGUAGUUUGACUGGGGCGGUCGCCUCCUAAAGAGUAACGGAGGCGUGCAAAGGUAGAUUUGAGUUGAAACUAGAACAACUUUAAAGCAUAAUAGUAUAUAUUUGCCUGACUGUAAGAUUGACAAAUCAAGCAGGGACGAAAGUCGGUUAUAGUGAUCCGGUGAUUCUGAGUGGAAAAGGUCACCGCUCAACGAAUAAAAGGUACGCCGGGGAUAACAGGCUAAUCACCCUCUAGAGACCAUAUCGACGGGGUGGUUUGGCACCUCGAUGUUGGAUUAUCGCAUCCUGGAGCUGUAGGCGGUUCCAAGGGUUUGACUGUUCGUCAAUGAAGGCGGUACAUGAUCUGAGUUUAGAACGUUGUGAAACAGUUUGGUCCCUAUCUACCGUAGGUGUAGAAAAUUGAGAGGGGUAAACCCUAGUACGAGAGGACCGGGAAAAGUAAAUCCCUGGUGAAUCGAUUGUUAUACCAAUAGCAUAGUCGAGUAGCUACAUUUAUAAUAAAUAAUCACUGAAAGCAUCUAAGUGAGAAAUUAGCCUCAAUACAAAUUUUCUUAAAAAUGUAAUAGACUAUUACAUGGAUAGGCUUGGUGUGUAAGAGUUGUAAGACUUUUAGCUAACAAGUACUAAAA